rnacentral:rRNA from 1 species
CCCAAACUUACCCCUAGAUUCGGUAGGAGGGAGUUGGAUUUCUUUGGUUAAGGGGGAAGCCAUGAUUUUGGAAGAUAUCCCAUGGGCAAAGCGGCCUUCCGGAUUCUUCCCGCCCCCUGAGGUCCAAAGCCGGGUAGGGAACAGGAUUAGAUAACCUGGUAGUCCCGCCGUAAACGAUGACAACUAGCUGUUGGAGACAAUGUCUUUCAGGGGCGCAGUAACGUUUAAGUUGUUCGGCCUGGGGAGUACGGCCGCAAGGUUAAACUCCAAUGAAUUGACGGGACCCGCACAAGCGGUGGAGCAUGUGGUUUAAUUCGAUGCAACGCGAAAAACCUUACCUACUCUUGACAUACUUGAAGCUCUUGUAAUGAGAGUGUGCCUUUUGGAAUCAAGAUACAGGUGCUGCAUGGCUGUCGUCAGCUCGUGUCGUGAGAUGUUCCGUUAAGUCGGAUAACGAGCGCAACCCUUACCCUUAUUUGCCAGCGAUUCGGUCGGGAACUAUAAGGGGACUGCCGGUGAUAAACCGGAGGAAGGUGAGGACGACGUCAAGUCAUCAUGGCCCUUACGAGUAGGGCUACACACGUGCUACAAUGGGGAAUACAGACGGACGCUAAGCCGCGAGGUGGUGCUAAUCCUAGAAAAUUCUUCGUAGUCCGGAUUGGAGUCUGCAACUCGACUCCAUGAAGUCGGAAUCGCUAGUAAUCGCGAAUCAGCAUGUCGCGGUGAAUACGUUCUCGGGUCUUGUACACACCGCCCGUCACACCAUGGAAGUGGAUUGCACCAGAAGUAGAUAGUCUAACCUUCGGGAGGGCGUUUACCACGGUGUGCUUCAUGACUGGGGUGAAGUCGUAACAAGGUAA